GGAACGUCCUCGUGAACCUGGAAUGUCUAGUAGGCGUAGGUCAUCAAUCUACGCCGGAUACGUCCCUGCCCCUUGUACACACCGCCCGUCGCCUCCUACCGACUGGUCUUCUGGCGAGCUCCUGGGAGGGAUGAACCGAACAGGGACGAACCGCGAGGCUUGGAGGAAGGAGAAGUCGUAACAAGGUAUCCGUAGGUGAACCUGCGGAUGGAUCCAUC
rnacentral:rRNA from 1 species